GUGGGGAAUAUUGGACAAUGGGCGAAAGCCUGAUCCAGCAAUGCCGCGUGAGUGAUGAAGGCCUUAGGGUUGUAAAGCUCUUUUACCAGGGAUGAUAAUGACAGUACCUGGAGAAUAAGCUCCGGCUACUCCGUGCCAGCAGCCGCGGUAAUACGGAGGGAGCUAGCGUUGUUCGGAAUUACUGGGCGUAAAGCGCGCGUAGGCGGCUCAGCAAGUCAGGGGUGAAAUCCCGGGGCUCAACCCCGGAACUGCCUUUGAAACUGCUAGGCUAGAAUCCUGGAGAGGCGAGUGGAAUUCCGAGUGUAGAGGUGAAAUUCGUAGAUAUUCGGAAGAACACCAGUGGCGAAGGCGACUCGCUGGACAGGUAUUGACGCUGAGGUGCGAAAGCGUGGGGAGCAAACAGGAUUAGAAACCCCGGUAGUCC
rnacentral:rRNA from 1 species